rnacentral:rRNA from 1 species
UACGUAGGGACCAAGCGUUGUCCGGAAUCAUUGGGCGUAAAGCGUGCGCAGGCGGUUAUGUAAGACAGGUGUGAAAUCCCCGGGCUUAACCUGGGAACUGCAUUUGUGACUGCAUAGCUAGAGUACGGUAGAGGGGGAUGGAAUUCCGCGUGUAGCAGUGAAAUGCGUAGAUAUGCGGAGGAACACCGAUGGCGAAGGCAAUCCCCUGGACCUGUACUGACGCUCAUGCACGAAAGCGUGGGGAGCAAACAGG